rnacentral:lncRNA from 1 species
UCUCAUCAAGAUAGCUGAAAGUGAAGGACUUCGGGUCAUGCAAGAGUGCAUAACUAAGGAACGAAGCAGGCAGUACGCGGUGUUGUACCUUCGCUACUCAGGGGAGUAGGCGGCAGGGUUGAUGGAGAAGACGGUACAAUCCCAGAAGCGACCAAACCUAUGAGAGAACUACUCCAAGUUGGGGUGAAAACUUCCUGCAUUCCAGAAGUUCAAUGGCAUUGAGAAGGUGAAUCACAGUAGCUAACUCAACGCAAGGAGUGCAAACACUUCAAGUGCUUCAGAAGUGUGAGCAAAGAGUAGGCGAAGGCUAGUAACCAGCUCGAUGCAUGAAGUACAACCUCGAGAAGGCGGGCGAAGUCAAGUAACCUUUGCCUUCUCAACUCUUAAGAGAAUGAGCGAAACUGAGUACCCCAAUUCUCUUAUCUAUCCAGUAGAGGAGCUCUGCACAAGUUCAAAGACCCUUCGAAGAUAAUGGAAGACAAUAGUUGUCAAAUCCUCACCAACGGUGAUCAGUGCUACUGAGAGUAGAUUGUCCGCUUCAUUUCCCAACGAAAUGCCAAUCGAAAGCGGAAGUGAUGCGAACCUACUUGGAUGUGACAACUAAGUGAAAGAAGAGCCAAUAAGCAAAUUUUGUGGAGGAAGGACCCA